GGCCGGCCAUAGCAAGAACAAAGAGAGGAAAAGAAAAACAAGAAACCUAGGUGGGAAAAUUAAAGAAAAAGUAUGGGAUUUCAAGGAAUCAAGCAAUCAAAGGUAAAAUUUCUUGAUUUUGACUUGUGAUCUACCUUUCCCAUGCUUUUCUCCUUAUUUUCCAUGGUUAGAUUUCAUGUUUUCAUGGUGAAUUCAUGGCUGCCCAAAUGGGUAUGGAGAGAGAAUGUUGUUAGAUUGAUUUGAUUUUAAGUUAUGUUAGUGUUUUAAGUUAGUUUAGCAUAUUUAGAAACAAAACAACAAGAAAAGAAUUCAUUUUCCCCCAUUACCAUCAUUGGCUGAAUUUCCUAGGGAGAAUAUUGUGGCUGAAUUUGAUGAUAUUUCAUGAUAUUUUGGUGAUAUUUGAUGUUUGGUGAGGAUAGAAAUUAAAUGGGAAAUUUUGGUACGAAAAUACGAAUUUUUGCUCAACAUAUGGACAUGUGUAAUUAUUGACCCGGGAUCGAUAAAUUGAACCUCAUUCACAGUCACUAAGGUAAUUUAGGUAUAAUUGGAGUGUAGAAAGUGAAAAGAAUCGAUUUGGAGUUAAAUUGAAGAUUUUAGCCGAUUAGACCGAGAAUAGUGGGAAUUAGGUCGAAUAUUGUAUUUAAACGGCUAUUCGGACAUUUCUUUUUGCAUUCCAUAUCAUGCAUUAGUAGCCUAAAUUAGUUUAAUUUCAAUUUAGUAUCAAUGUGGUGAAUUUCUCAAUUUUGUAUUGUGUCAAGGUGGUGAGUUCUCCGAUAAAGGCAAGGAAAUUGCAUCCGAGGACUAGUAGACAGAGUACUUCGAAAGUCUGCAUUCUAGACAUUGUGAGUAAACUUACUGUCAUUUUAAUUAUCUAGGGUGGUUUUUAUAUGAUAUCAUGAAUUCUAUGGAAAAAUGGAUUUUUAAAAGGUAAAUUUUCAUGUUUUAUGAAUAAAAGUUUUCUAAUGAAAUUAAUUUAUAAAUUGUUUUGAAAUUAAUAAUGAUUUUGAAAAAUAGAGUACACGGAGACUGUUAAUUGUGGCAAUUUGAUUGUUUAAAUUGAUGGCUUAUGUUAUAUUGGUAUUGUGUUGGCAUGAUUGGCUGUGUUGUGUUUUAUGAAUUAUAUGAAUUGUUUUAUUUUACCCUUGCAGGCUGGGUAGUAUUUCAUUAGCCCUGUCAUACCGUCAAAAUUUU
rnacentral:lncRNA from 1 species